AUGCUCACUUUGGCAGCACAUAUACUAAAACUGGAACAAUACUGAUAAAAUUAACAUGGCUCCUGUGCAAGGAUGACACACAUACUCAGAAAGCAUUCCACAUUUUC
rnacentral:snRNA from 1 species